rnacentral:tRNA from 1 species
UCCCCAGUUGCUCAGUGGUAAAGAAUCUGCCUGAAGUGCAGGAGACCCAGAUUCGAUUCCUGGGUUGGGAA